rnacentral:rRNA from 1 species
GCCUGAUCCAGCAAUGCCGCGUGUGUGAAGAAGGCCUUCGGGUUGUAAAGCACUUUUGUCCGGAAAGAAAUCCUUGGCUCUAAUACAGUCGGGGGAUGACGGUACCGGAAGAAUAAGCACCGGCUAACUACGUGCCAGCAGCCGCGGUAAUACGUAGGGUGCAAGCGUUAAUCGGAAUUACUGGGCGUAAAGCGUGCGCAGGCGGUUUGCUAAGACCGAUGUGAAAUCCCCGGGCUCAACCUGGGAACUGCAUUGGUGACUGGCAGGCUAGAGUAUGGCAGAGGGGGGUAGAAUUCCACGUGUAGCAGUGAAAUGCGUAGAGAUGUGGAGGAAUACCGAUGGCGAAGGCAGCCCCCUGGGCCAAUACUGACGCUCAUGCACGAAAGCGUGGGGAGCAAACAGGAUUAGAUACCCUGGUAGUCCACGCCCUAAACGAUGUCAACUAGUUGUUGGGGAUUCAUUUCCUUAGUAACGUAGCUAACGCGUGAAGUUGACCGCCUGGGGAGUACGGUCGCAAGAUUAAAACUCAAAGGAAUUGACGGGGACCCGCACAAGCGGUGGAUGAUGUGGAUUAAUUCGAUGCAACGCGAAAAACCUUACCUACCCUUGACAUGGNCGGAAUCCUGCCGAGAGGCGGGAGUGCUCGAAAGAGAACNGGCGCACAGGUGCUGCAUGGCUGUCGACNGCUCGUGUCGUGAGAUGU